CAUCAAUUCGUCCCCAUCCCCUUUCCUCUUUCUGCCAUAGUGAUAAGGUUCGUCAGCACAAAAUCGGCGGCCGGUGGAGGGCAAGCUGCUCGGCGGCGAUAACUCGCGCGACUGUGACGGCGAGUAGAGGGCAAGCUGCUCGACGGUGAGGAAAUUCAGUCGCUGUUGCGUCGAUAGCUCGUGCGACCGCGGCGAGAAAGAGACACGUCCGCGCGACGAGGGAGCCUAGCCGCUCACUGCUGACAGCUCGCGCGACUGCGGCCUGUGCAGGAGAGGCGCGUCCGCACGACUACGGAGCUAAGCCGCUAGCUGAAGGCUUACGUCCAGCACAACAAUGGAUGCAACCUGUCCGUUGGACUGUCCGAGACAUAGAAGUUCAAUUCAACAAAGCUGCCAACAUCUUUCCGUGCAAACGUACAAAAACUCAAACCCUCACCCCAUCUCGUUUUGUUGUCCUUUCUUUAAAGCAUGGCAAAAAAAUGUGUCGCCUCUGUUUUAUAUAGACCAAUUUUUCACUGGGACAGAAAUAUUGCCUACAACGGCAAACUAUAGUAGCCUGUAAUAGUAAAUCAUGUGUUGCAGAAAUGCACACCAUGCUGCCUGCAUGGCAAAGCACAAGAAGAUUGACUCGUUCCAUUGGUCUAAUUUUUGACAGCUUUAUAACUCAAUCAGUUCUAAACAAAAAAUAUGUUGUUCAACUACAACAUGACCAGUUGCUAAAUCCUAGAUGUUAUCAGUAAACAAUAACGCUAGAUUGAUUGUGCUGUUUACAGAAUUGGUGAAAUUUGCACUCCAUCUUCCAACAUCCAAAGUAGUCAAGUUUAAUUAAUUAGAGCUGGGUAAAGAAGGUAUAUGACCUAGAAAUUCAAACACUAAGUCUGGCUGACACAACUCCUUUCACUUGCUGUCAUGCCGAUUUUGUAGAUCUGGAGUUGUCAGUUCUGGCUGACCUUUGUUUUUUGUGUUCCUGCAUACACCGACCAAGUGCCUCAAUGUGGUCAUGCUAAUUUCUGGCACCAAGUGAGCCCGACCAAGAGGAGCUAGCCAGAUUUGGAGUUCUCGUUGCCGCCAUCCUUCGUUGCCCAUCAGGCCUGGCCUUUCGUAGGUGUGUGUACUGCAUGCUUUCAUGUUCAGUGGCGGUCUGGCACCAAUCUGCAGAGGAGCUUGGUAGAUUUGGAGUUGUCGUUGCCAGUGGCGGAGCUUGACAAGAAUCCAUGGGAGGGCCAAAGACACACACACAAAAAAAUUAACCAACUGCAACAAACCAGAACUUGUAGCCUCCAGUCAAAUUUAUACUUAUAUUAUCCAUAUUGGUUGUAAAAUACAUGUAUGAUUAACAAUAUAUAUUUCAUAAGAGAACUAACUACACCAAAAUAUACGACUUGUC
rnacentral:rRNA from 1 species